AAAAAUGUAACAGUUUUCCGGCAUUCAUGCCGAAACCUGUUACAGGAGAUUGGGCAGCAGAAAGGGAUGUGUCCCUGCUGCUGCAAGAAGGGCAGGACGUAUCGGUAUGUCCAUAGGGGACUGAAGGGGUUAAAUAGGGUUUGUGCCUAGAAGAACAUUGGAUAUCUUAGACUCUACCUAAAAAGGGGAGUCUCUGUUGUUGACUCUUACUGCUGAAGUUGAGAAGACAUUCUAAAGAUUUAUUUGGAGUUUUAAGAGCCUUUCCUUGAAGAAGUUUGGUAUAUAUGGCUGCAUACACCAACUAUAAUAUCCCUAUAUUUUAAUCCCUCAGAACUGUGGACCAAAUAUUUGCUCAGAGGGUUAAAAGAGAGAGAGAGUGAUAUUCAGUGCUUGAAAUAGAAAUGCCAGAUAUCUAGUGUAAUAACACAACUUAAACAAGUAUAAUUCCUUGGUGCUGCAGACCCAAUACACUGACCACAAGUGUGUUAACAGAAAAAUAAGUUUACAAAAGGCACCUCAAUAUGUGUGAAAAUUAAACAAUACUUAAUUUAUCUAAGUAGACUCUUUAGGAGGUUCCUCUGUUGCAAAGCCCAUGGAGCCCCUUCUGGGGAAUUAAAUGGAGCUUCUUCCUUGUACCGGUAACAGAAGAGGACUGGAGGAGAGAUAGUUAAAAUAAGUAACAACUUUAAUAUAAAUAAAAAAAAAGUAGUAUCUUACAUAGGAAAAUACUUUAAAGCUCCUGUGGAGAGGACCGGAAUCGUGCAGUGACAGCUUCAUUCUCACAAAAUUCCUUUGUGUCCGCUUUCUCAAUGGGUGUAUUCAGCACAACGCGUUUCAGUGGGAGAAGAUUACUGCUAUUUUUGGGUACAAGAACAUGUUGCCUAACCCUCUUCAGUUAGAAUUUUUGGAGUGUUUCAAGGUGUUGGCUAUAGUAUAAUGGGUAGUGCCAGGGUUCUGUUAGAAAAUCAUUGUAUUGGCCCUAGUUAGAUGUAAGGUUAGUUACUGUGUAGUAUUAACAAAAUACUGAUGAUGAUCAGAUUAGGUCUUUAGCCCUAUUUAUACCCGAGAUUGAUACCCAAUAACCUGAGGUUAUUAAU